ensembl:lncRNA
AAUUUUUUUUUCUUUCUUAUCGAAGUUAAGUCGGAGUUUUACAAAAGUUAAAGGACAAUGUAGCGUAGGUGUAAAAAUAGUACAGUUUGUUUUAAUAUUAUAUACAGCCGUCCAUUUUUUUGAGCGGACCCAUGUUUUUAAUCUUGUGAGAAAGUAGAGAAAAGAAGAGAAGUGACCAUUCUUCGAACUGGAUCGCCUAACGCUUCCCAGAUUUCCUGUUCCUGUGUGGAAGAAUUACCGGUUCCAUUCUGAGGCAUUCGUAGCUUUCUCACCUUGUUGCAACUUUAGAGCACACAGACUGUCCGAGCCUGGAUGAACUGAGUCAUCGUCUUAGAUUGACAGCUUGCCUGUAUUGCCCUCUUGCAUUCAUUCCCGCCCCGCUCUCUCGCUUCCUGCCUGCGCUGCUUGUGCACGCUGCUGUUUGGUUGGUGUUGCCAUGGCACCGAGUAGCCCGAAAGAGGCUUCACAUACAGCAUCUUGUGUUCUCUUUACAG